UCGUCGAUCCUCUCUGUCUCUCGCAUGUCAAGCCUCUGUCUUCGAUCCCUUUGUGCCCGAGCUCACUUUUCUUCCUCCUUCGCGGUCACUUCUCUUCCUCCCUCGCCACCGGCUAGACUGUUGUUAUCUUGUUCUGACUUCUGGGUUAAUUAUUGUUGACUAUUGGUAAUGUUCUGAGUUAUUUUUGUGCUAUUAUUCUAUUUGAGUUAAUUUGUUAGUUGUUGGCUUGUCGCUGAGUAAAAUUAGUUAAACUUAAAAACUUGUGCUCUUCAAUUGGAUCCGGCUCUGAUUGAUGCUGGAAGAAGGGUUUCAGUUGAAAUCCUAGAUGAAUAAGCUUGUUUGCUGCGCCACUGUUGCUAAAUAAUAGCCUCAGCUAAAGCUCAUCAGAAAAUUGUUGAAAAG